rnacentral:lncRNA from 1 species
UUUUUGGUGGGACAGUGUGUUGUCGGUGGAACAGUGUGUUGGUGGAACAGUGUAUUGUUGGUGGAACAGUGUGUUGUUGGUGUUGUUGGUGGAACAGUGUGUUGUUGGUGGGACAGUGUGUUGUUGGUGGAACAGUGUGUUGUUGGUGGAACAGUGUGUUGUUGGUGGAACCGUGUGUUGUUGGUGGGACAGUGUGUUGUUGGUGAACAGUGUGUUGUUGGUGGAACAGUGUGUUGUCGGUGGAACAGUGUGUUGUUGGUGGAACAGUGUGUGUUGGUGGAACAGGGUGUGUUGGUGGAUCAGUGUGUUGGUGGAACAGUGUGUUGUCGGUGGAACAGUGUGUUGUCGGUGGAACAGUGUGUUGUCGGUGGAACAGUGUGUUGUCAGUGGAACAGUGUGUUGUUGGUGGAACAGUGUGUGUUGGUGGAACAGUGUGUGUUGGUGGAACAGGGUGUGUUGGUGGAACAGUGUGUUGUCGGUGGAACAGUGUGUUGUUGGUGUGGUGGUCUACCAGGGGCCGUGGUGAUGGUACAGUCUGACUGCUGCAGGGAGACAGGAACUACGGUCUCCAUGAGACAACGCAGGUGAAGCAGCCUGUCACUGAAGGAGCUGCACAGUGAGGACCAAGUGUCCUGGAGGGGACGGACGGACAUGUUGUCCAAUAGAGAGGACAGCUCGUCCCCCACCACCUCCACAGUGUCCAGAGGCCUCCCCAGGACAGAGCUGGCCUUCUUCAGUCUGUUCAGUGUCUUCCUGUUA